UACGGGGGGAGCAAGCGUUGUUCGGAUUUACUGGGCGUAAAGGGCGCGUAGGCGGUCAGCACAAGUCAAUUGUGAAAUCUCCGGGCUUAACUCGGAAAGGUCAACUGAUACUGCGGGGCUAGAGUGCAGAAGGGGCAACUGGAAUUCUCGGUGUAGCGGUGAAAUGCGUAGAUAUCAUGAGGAAUACCAGAGGCGAAGGCGGCUACCUGGACAAUUGCUGACGCUCAGGCACGAAAGCGUGGGGAGCAAAAGGG
rnacentral:rRNA from 1 species